GAGGAAGAAUCAGAAGAAAAAUCAGAAGAAAAAUAAAAUGGAGAGGGUUUCUCUUUCUUCGCUUUCUUUGACAAAAACCCUUUCUUCUUUCCCUUCCCCUCUUCUUCCCCCUUC
rnacentral:ribozyme from 13 species